CCUACGGGCGGCUGCAGUGGGGAAUAUUGCACAAUGGGGGAAACCCUGAUGCAGCGACGCCGCGUGAGUGAAGAAGUACCUCGGUAUGUAAAGCUCCAUCAGCAGGGAAGAAAAUGACGGUACCUGACUAAGAAGCUCCGGCUAACUACGUGCCAGCAGCCGCGGUAACACGGAGGGGGCCAGCGUUAUCCGGAUUUACUGGGUGUAAAGGGAGCGUAGUCGGCCAGACAAGUCAGAAGUGAAAGCCUAGGGCUCAACCCUGGGACUGCUUUUGAAACUGCCGGGCUGGAGUUCAGGAGAGGUAGGCGGAAUUCGUGGUGUAGCGGUGAAAUGCGUAGAUAUUAGGAAGAACACCGGUGGCGAAGGCAGCUUACUGGACUGUAACUGACGUUGAGGCUCGAAAGCGUGGGGAGCAAACAGGAUUAGAUACCCGAGUAGUC
rnacentral:rRNA from 1 species